rnacentral:tRNA from 1 species
GCCGGGAUGGCGGAACUGGCAGACGCAGCGGACUUAAAAUCCGCAGCCCUGAAAGGGGCGUGGGGGUUCGAGUCCCCCUCUCGGCACCA